rnacentral:lncRNA from 1 species
UAAGAAUCACAUAUUAGGUAACAAGAAAUACUUCAAUAUUUAUUGGGAUCAUCAGGGUAAGUAACUCUUUUUCCGGACAAGUAAAAUUUAUAGUUUUACCUGCCCAGGGACAAGUGCUCAUAACAAAUAUUUCCACACCCCUGAGUAGUAAAAAGGAAGAAGGGUGUGAUAACACCCAAAUGGAGCUAUUUUUCAAUAAUGAAAUGAAAUUAGUGAUAUAAUGCAGGCAUUAUAUUUUUAUAACAAAACAUGACCAAGAAUUGACAAACAUUUUUGAAACAUUCACAAUAAAAUGUUAUCAAGGAGGAACACAGGGUGGGGCAGGUAAAAUCCCCUUCCUUUUCUGUCACAACUAUUUAUAUAAAAAAACAUUGUUAUUGAUUUGGGUUUGGAGAAUUUUUGUUAAGGACAUACAUCUCUAAGUCAUUUUUGAAUAUUUGCCCUCUAGAGAAAUAGUUUUUACUGAUCUGAAUUACAAACAGAAAAUUGAUAUUGAUAUUAUGUGCAUACCCAAUUUGGCAGAUAUGUUUUCAGAAAACAGUAAUUGAGCUGAAUUGUUUUAAUUGCACUGCAAAAACCAAACCAUUUGAUAUUUUGGCUUGAUAAAACAUUUGUACCUUUAGGGACUUGUAAUAUUUUAAGUGGCAGAUUGAGGGUGCAAGGAAAGAGGAGGGUAAUAAGUGAAAUCACUGAUUGUAACAAGGUGAAAUAUUUUUUUGACGAUUUCAGGCAAACAUUUGUUUUUUAUCCAUAGGGGGAGGCAUAUUGUGUCAUAUUCCUCUUCGACACCCUUAGUUCUCCACUAACCUUUGAUGAAAAGUGAAGAAUAUCUAUGUUAUUUAAUGCCAUGUAAACUGUUUUCGAUGAAUGUUGAAUUUUAUAAAUGUCAAUAUAUAUAUAAAAAAAGGUC